rnacentral:precursor_RNA from 1 species
GGCUUGAGGACCGUAUUCAUGGAAGAGGAUUGAACAGAGAUGAAGUAGACAGUAUGUUGGAUAAAUCUGGAGUAAAGAACCCAGCAAUUGGUAAAGAUGAGAAUAUAUCGCCUCAAGUAAAAGGAGAUGAAGACAUGGGAGAUGAAAUUGACAGUAUGUUGGCUACAUCUGGAGGGGUUUGCCCCACAUCCUCUAUAUUGCAGAAAACAAGACUAGGCUCUACCUCUGUAGAUCAAGCACGGCUGAAAUCCGUGCUCUCAAAAGAUGCUGGGGAGAAAGAGUGCCAUUCUUCACAAAUGCUGAUGUGUGCAGCUGAACAGAGCGUUGAGGAAACGUCAGUGAUUUUAUAACUACUUAUCAUGUUGGGAGAUUGUUGUGAUGAUUGCCUGGACUCUCAGAUGUUACACAGGCUGCAUCAUUGGACUGAAAGUGAAUGGCCCAUGUGUUGCCACUGAUGUGAGCCAUUUGCAAGCC